rnacentral:rRNA from 1 species
CCCUUAGAUGUUCUGGGCCACACGCGCGCUACACUGACGGAGGCAGCGAGCGUGUCCUUCGCCGGCAGGUGCGGGCAAUCUUGCGAGUCUCCGUCGUGCUGGGGAUAGAUGGUUGCAAUUGUCGAUCUUGAACGAGGAAUUCCUAGUAAGCGCGAGUCAUCAGCUCGCGCUGAUUACGUCCCUGCCCUUUGUACACACCGCCCGUCGCUACUACAGAGUGCCCGUGUCCAAGAAACGGUCGGACCUGUGCGGCCUCUCCGGGCGACCGGAGGGCCGUUACGGGGAAGACCCUUUAUUUGACGCGGGUCGAUGAAGUAAAAGUCGUAACA